GUGCUCGAUCUGACAGCACAUAUACUAAAAUUGGAACGAUACAGAGAAGAUUAGCGUGGCCCUUGCGCAAAGAUAACAUGCAGAUUCAUGAAUGAUUCGAUUUUUUU